rnacentral:lncRNA from 1 species
GCUAUUACUGUGACAGCCAGCAAGGACCAGUCAUUGAUUUUACCCUUUACCCAUGCCCGCAAGGUUUUUACUGUCCACCAGGGACCCGCCAGAGCACUCAGUACAGCUGCCCUGCAGGAACCUUUGGGCCGAGGCAGAAACUGACAACAGUCAAGCAAUGUCAAAGAUGCCCACCGGGAAAAUACUGUGAAUUCUCUGGACUUGCUGCCCCAACAGGCGCCUGUGCGGAGGGAUUCUGGUGCAAAAGUGGUGCCCGAGUGAGAAACCCCCGAGAUGGAGAGUCAGGACUGCCUUGUCCUCCUGGUCAUUACUGCCCUGAAGGUACGAUGCUUUGCUUAGGACAAUUUUUCCUUAAUUCAUGGUGAAGCAUGAGAUGGGAUUUCCUCUCUCUGCUGCGUUUCACGUUGCCAGGUGCACCACUUCCGUUACAGUGCCCUCCUGGCACUUGGUCUGACAGUGAAGGGGGUAGGAAUUUGCAGGAGUGCCAGCCUUGCCCUGGGGGAUAUUACUGUAACAGCUCUGGACUGAGGGCCCCUUCAGGACAUUGCAGCCCAGGGUAUUACUGCGUCUCCGGGGCCCAGACUCCAGCACCCACUGAUGGCCUCUCAGGAGCUCCAUGUCCCAUCAGACACUUUUGCCCUCUUGGAUCCAGGAGUCCAGCUCCAUGCCCCCCUGGCUCCUACAUGCCACAAACCCAUGGAGAGGAGUGCCACGCUUGUGCAGAGGGUGAAUACUGUGUCCCUGGUGAAAAGCCACAGCCAUGUCCUCAGGGUUUCUACUGCCCCGGAGGAACAGGUUUAGACUGGCAGCCCUGCCCGCCAGGUACUUAUAGCCCCGAGCAAGGACAGGGAAGCAGAACCAGCUGCAGAGCUUGUGAUGGAGGGAAGUUCUGUCAGUAUCACAAUGCAACUGCUGUGACUGGAGAGUGCUGGGAAGGUUACUAUUGCACUCAAGGAUCUUAUAAGCCUAACCCAGAUGCCGUGAUACAAGGUGCCACUUCUCUUUUGCUAAUGCCGCGUGGGUUUCUGCAGCUCCUUACAGUUGGUUUCUCCGUGACAGCACCCACCUCUGCAAGGAACUGGGGUCUGUUUCCGUGGGGGCUGUGUGGCCAGUUCACUGGCAGUGAGUUGUAAGUCAGCACCGUAACUGUUUUGUCCUAGGUGCAGUAAAAGCAGUGCUCAGAAGAGAGUGGAAGGAAAGAACUCUUGGGUUCAGUCUUGAAGUGUGUGUUCUGUCACCUAGGCCUAUGCCUAGAUCGCUGAAUGUAAAGUAACGGCUAAAUUUCCUGCCGCUACUGUUCCGAAGAGCCCUUGUGCAGCAACUUGAGUUCUAACUUCAUCUUAGACGGGAAUGAGUUAAAGACUGCGAGCGGUCUGCAGAGAAAUCGCUCAUGGCAUGAAUAAAUCACAGCUCUUAAAGACGCA